rnacentral:rRNA from 1 species
GACGAACCGUGCAAACGUUGUUCGGAAUCACUGGGCUUAAAGGGCGCGUAGGCGGGUUAUCAAGUCCGGGGUGAAAGCCCCCAGCUUAACUGGGGAAGUGCCUUGGAUACUGGUAAUCUUGAGGGAGGUAGGGGCAUGCGGAACUUCCGGUGGAGCGGUGAAAUGCGUAGAUAUCGGAAGGAACGCCGGUGGCGAAAGCGGCGUGCUGGACCCCUUCUGACGCUGAGGCGCGAAAGCUAGGGGAGCAAACGGG